rnacentral:rRNA from 1 species
GAGUUUGAUCAUGGCUCAGAUUGAACGCUGGCGGCAGGCCUAACACAUGCAAGUCGGGCGGUAGAGAGAAGCUUGCUUCUCUUGAGAGCGGCGGACGGGUGAGUAAUGCCUAGGAAUCUGCCUGGUAGUGGGGGAUAAACGCUCGGAAACGGACGCUAAUACCGCAUACGUCCUACGGGAGAAAGCAGGGGACCUUCGGGCCUUGCGCUAUCAGAUGAGCCUAGGUCGGAUUAGCUAGUUGGUGAGGUAAUGGCUCACCAAGGCGACGAUCCGUAACUGGUCUGAGAGGAUGAUCAGUCACACUGGAACUGAGACACGGUCCAGACUCCUACGGGAGGCAGCAGUGGGGAAUAUUGGACAAUGGGCGAAAGCCUGAUCCAGCCAUGCCGCGUGUGUGAAGAAGGUCUUCGGAUUGUAAAGCACUUUAAGUUGGGAGGAAGGGCAGUAAAUUAAUAACUUUGCUGUUUUGACGUUUACGACAGAAUAAGCACGGCUAACUCUGUGCCAGCA